CUGUGAUGCCCUUAGAUGUUCUGGGCCGCACGCGCGCUACACUGACGGAGCCAACGAGUUCUGGCGCAAGCCGUUCCUUGGCCGAAAGGUCUAGGUAAUCUUGUUAAACUCCGUCGUGCUGGGGAUAGUCUUUUGUAACAUCUGACUUGAACGAGGAAUUCCUAGUAAGCGCGGUUCAUCAGAUCGCGUUGAUUACGUCCCUGCCCUUUGUACACACCGCCCGUCGCUACUACCGAUUGAAUGGCUUAGUGAGACCCUCGGAUUGGCGCAUAGCUGCCGGCAACGGCUGGUAGUGCCGAGAAGUUGGUCAAACUUGGUCAUUUAGAGGAAGUAAAAGUCGUAACAAGGUAUCCGUAGGUGAACCUGCGGAUGGAUCAUUAACGUG
rnacentral:rRNA from 1 species